GGGAAUGUGGCUCAGUGGUAAAGUGCUUGCUGGCAUGAGGCCCUGGGUUUGAUUCCCAGCACCCCA
rnacentral:tRNA from 1 species